AUCAAUUCAGGAGCUGAUCUCGCCCGCAACAAGCUGCUUUCAGAACCUUCUCACCAGAUUGAAUAGCCUUUCACAUAUUGCAGGCUGCUUCCCAAGCUAAACUAGUCAAGAUGAUGAUCAAAGUAGCUCUUGUGCUCUGUGCUAUUGUGGCAACCAGUAUGGUGUGCGCCAAAA